rnacentral:rRNA from 1 species
AGGUGGAAAAACCGGAGCCGCAGCGAAAGCGAGUCUGAAAUGGGCGUACGAAGUACGUAGUUAUGUACCCGAAACCAGGUGACCUACCCAUGUCCAGGGUGAAGGUGCGGUAAAACGCACUGGAGGCCCGAACCCGUGUCUGUUGAAAAAGGCUGGGAUGAGGUGUGGGUAGCGGUGAAAUUCCAAACGAACUUGGAGAUAGCUGGUUCUCUCCGAAAUCUCUUUAGGGGGAGCCUCGGAAUCGAGAAUCUUGGAGGUAGAGCACUGUUUGGACAAGGGGCCCGUCAUGGGUUACCAACUUCAGAUAAACUCCGAAUGCCAAUGAUUUAUGUCCGGGAGUCAGACGAUGAGUGAUAAGAUCCACCGUCGAAAGGGGAACAGCCCAGAUCACCAGUUAAGGUCCCUAAAUAUAUGCUAAGUGGAAAAGGAUGUGGAGUUGCAUAGACAACUAGGAUGUUGGCUCAGAAGCAGCCAUCAUUUAAAGAGUGCGUAAUAGCUCACUAGUCGAGUGAUUCUGCGCCGAAAAUGUACCGGGGCUAAGCAUAUUACCGAAACUGUGGAUGUGUCCUUUUGGACACGUGAUAGGAGAGCGUUCUAAGGGCGACGAAGUUAGACCGUGAGGACUAGUGGAGCGCUUAGAAGUGAGAAUGCCGGUAUGAGUAGCGAAAGACAGGUGAGAAUCCUGUCCACCGAAUGACUAAGGUUUCCUGGGGAAGGCUCGUCCUCCCAGGGUAAGUCGGGACCUAAGGCGAGGCCGAGAGGCGUAGUCGAUGGAUAACAGGUUGAGAUUCCUGUACCAGUUAAAUGCGUUUGAAUGAUGGAGGGACGCAGGAGGCUAAGCAAACCAGACGAUUGGAAGUGUCUGGCCAAGCAGUAAGUCAGGUUUAGAGUCAAAUGCUUUAAACCGGGUUGACAAGCUGUGAUGGGGAGNNNNNNNNNNNNNNNNNNNNNNNNNNNNNNNNNNNNNNNNAUUUAACUGCCCGUACCGCAAACCGACACAGGUAGUCGAGGAGAGAAUCCUAAGGUGAGCGAGUGAACUCUCGUUAAGGAACUCGGCAAAAUGACCCCGUAACUUCGGGAGAAGGGGUGCUGGUCGCAAGACCAGCCGCAGUGAAAAGGCCCAGGCGACUGUUUAUCAAAAACACAGGUUUCUGCAAAAUCGUAAGAUGAAGUAUAGGGGCUGACGCCUGCCCGGUGCUGGAAGGUUAAAAGGAAGAGUUAGCUUCGGCGAAGCCCUGAAUUGAAGCCCCAGUAAACGGCGGCCGUAACUAUAACGGUCCUAAGGUAGCGAAAUUCCUUGUCGGGUAAGUUCCGACCCGCACGAAAGGCGUAACGAUCUGGGCACUGUCUCAACGAGAGACUCGGUGAAAUUGAAUUGCCUGUGAAGAUGCAGGCUACCCGCGACAGGACGGAAAGACCCCAUGGAGCUUUACUGUAGCUUGAUAUUGAGUGUUUGUACUACUUGUACAGGAUAGGUAGGAGCCGUAGAAACCGGGACGCUAGUUUCGGUGGAGGCAUUGGUGGGAUACUACCCUUGUAUUAUGACCACUCUAACCCGCACCACUGAUCGUGGUGGGAGACAGUGUCAGGUGGGCAGUUUGACUGGGGCGGUCGCCUCCCAAAAGGUAACGGAGGCGCCCAAAGGUUCGCUCAGAAUGGUUGGAAAUCAUUCGCAGAGUGUAAAGGCACAAGCGAGCUUGACUGCGAGACAGACAGGUCGAGCAGGGACGAAAGUCGGGCUUAGUGAUCCGGUGGUUCCGCAUGGAAGGGCCAUCGCUCAACGGAUAAAAGCUACCCUGGGGAUAACAGGCUUAUCUCCCCCAAGAGUCCACAUCGACGGGGAGGUUUGGCACCUCGAUGUCGGCUCAUCGCAUCCUGGGGCUGUAGUCGGUCCCAAGGGUUGGGCUGUUCGCCCAUUAAAGCGGUACGCGAGCUGGGUUCAGAACGUCGUGAGACAGUUCGGUCCCUAUCCGUCGCGGGCGUAGGAAAUUUGAGAGGACCUGUCCUUAGUACGAGAGGACCGGGAUGGACAUACCGCUGGUGUACCAGUUGUUCCGCCAGGAGCAUCGCUGGGUAGCUAUGUAUGGAUGAGAUAAACGCUGAAAGCAUCUAAGUGUGAAACUCGCCUCAAGAUGAGAUUUCCCAUUCCUUUGGAAGUAAGACCCCACAGAGAUGAUGUGGUAGAUAGGAUGGAAGUGGAAGUGCGGUGACGCAUGGAGCGGACCAUUACUAAUCGGUCGAGGACUUAACCAA